UGUAGUAACUUAAAAGUAGUGGUGAGCGAAUUUUGAAUUUAUCUAAGUUUAAAAAUUUUAAUUCUAGAGAAACUCGUUAGGAACGAGUAAGGGGUACACUAAAUGGUUGUAGGAUUGGAUACUCCGCUUGAGGGUCUAGUACAAAGAAGGUAAAAAGUCCUGUGUAGGAAAAUAGUAAAUUUUUAAAUUUUUGAGUAUAUUGAAUUGUGAAAUUUGAUAGAAUACGGGAUAUCCAUUUUCUAAGUAAUUAUAUAUAAAAAUAUAUCGAUAGUGUAAAGUACCGUGAGGGAACGAUGAAAAGAACCACAAUAAAUUUGUAGUGGAGUGAAAUAGAACGUAAAAUUAAAAAUACAACAGUUUUUGAUGUAACCAAAUUUGUGUUAUAACAAUGUACCUUUUGUAUAAUGGGUCAACGAGUUAAUUUAAACUAGCAAAUUUAAAUUAAGAUGACGAGCUGAGAAUUUCGAGUCAUCGAUGAUUGAGA
rnacentral:rRNA from 1 species